rnacentral:rRNA from 1 species
UGCCAGCAGCCGCGGUAAUGCCGGCAGCCCGAGUGAUGGCCGAUCUUAUUGGGCCUAAAGCGUCCGUAGCUGGCCCCGCAAGUCCGUCGGGAAAUCCAGUAGCUCAACUACUGGGCGGCCGGCGGAAACUACGGGGCUUGGGACCGGAAGGCUCGAGGGGUACGUCCGGGGUAGGAGUGAAAUCCUGUAAUCCCGAACGGACCACCGAUGGCGAAAGCACCUCGAGAAGACGGCUCCGACAGUGAGGGACGAAAGCUAGGGUCUCGAACCGGAUUAGAUA